CCCCGGUAAACGGCGGCCGUAACUAUAACGGUCCUAAGGUAGCGAAAUUCCUUGUCGGGUAAGUUCCGACCUGCACGAAUGGCGUAAUGAUGGCCAGGCUGUCUCCACCCGAGACUCAGUGAAAUUGAACUCGCUGUGAAGAUGCAGUGUACCCGCGGCAAGACGGAAAGACCCCGUGAACCUUUACUAUAGCUUGACACUGAACAUUGAGCCUUGAUGUGUAGGAUAGGUGGGAGGCUUUGAAGUGUGGACGCCAGUCUGCAUGGAGCCGACCUUGAAAUACCACCCUUUAAUGUUUGAUGUUCUAACGUGGACCCGUAAUCCGGGUUGCGGACAGUGUCUGGUGGGUAGUUUGACUGGGGCGGUCUCCUCCUAAAGAGUAACGGAGGAGCACGAAGGUUGGCUAAUCCUGGUCGGACAUCAGGAGGUUAGUGCAAUGGCAUAAGCCAGCUUGACUGCGAGCGUGACGGCGCGAGCAGGUGCGAAAGCAGGUCAUAGUGAUCCGGUGGUUCUGAAUGGAAGGGCCAUCGCUCAACGGAUAAAAGGUACUCCGGGGAUAACAGGCUGAUACCGCCCAAGAGUUCAUAUCGACGGCGGUGUUUGGCACCUCGAUGUCGGCUCAUCACAUCCUGGGGCUGAAGUAGGUCCCAAGGGUAUGGCUGUUCGCCAUUUAAAGUGGUACGCGAGCUGGGUUUAGAACGUCGUGAGACAGUU
rnacentral:rRNA from 4 species